GAUGAACGCUGGCGGCGUGCUUAACACAUGCAAGUCGAACGGAAAGGCUCCUGCUUGCAGGGGUACUCGAGUGGCGAACGGGUGAGUAACACGUGGGUGAUCUGCCCUGCACUUCGGGAUAAGCCUGGGAAACUGGGUCUAAUACCGGAUAGGACGAUGGUUUGGAUGCCAUCGUGGAAAGUUUUUCGGUGUGGGAUGAGCUCGCGGCCUAUCAGCUUGUUGAUGGGGUAAUGGCCUACCAAGGCGUCGACGGGUAGCCGGCCUGAGCGGGUGAACGGCCACAUUGGGACUGAGAUACUGCCCAGACUCCAACGGGAGGCAGCAGUGGGGAAUAUUGCACAAUGGGCGCAAGCCUGAUGCAGCGACGCCGCGUGGGGGAUGACGGCCUUCUGGUUGUAAACUCCUUUCGCUAGGGACGAAGCGCAAGUGACGGUACCUGGAGAAGAGGCACCGGCUAACUACGUG
rnacentral:rRNA from 1 species